rnacentral:rRNA from 1 species
GACGAACGCUGGCGGCGUGCUUAACACAUGCAAGUCGAACGAAGUGGCGAACGGGUGAGUAACGCGUAAUCAACCUGCCCUUCAGAGGGGGACAACAGUUGGAAACGACUGCUAAUACCGCAUACUGAAGGAGGGGUUUGCGUCUGAUUGGCUAGUUGGGGGGGUAACGGCCCACCAAGGCGAUGAUCAGUAGCCGGUCUUGGGGGGUGAGAGGCCACAUUGGGAAUGGGACACGGGCCAGACUCCUACGGGAGGCGGCGGUGGGGAAACUUCCGCAAAGGGGGAAAGGCUGACGGAGCAACGCCGCGUGAGUGAUGACGGGCUUCGGGGUGUAAAGCUCUGUUAAUCGGGACGCGGUACCGGAAUAGAAAGCCACGGCUAACUACGUGCCAGCAGCCGCGGUAAUUC